GCUGUGAUGGCCGAGUGGUUAAGGCGUUGGAUUCGAAAUCCAAUGGGGUUGCCCUGCACAGGUUCGAAUCCUGUUCACAGCG
rfam:Xenopus tropicalis strain Nigerian Chr03_contig_3530, whole genome shotgun sequence.